UACAGAGGGUGCAAGCGUUAAUCGGAAUUACUGGGCGUAAAGCGUGCGUAGGUGGUUCGGUAAGUCAGAUGUGAAAGCCCUGGGCUUAACCUGGGAAUUGCGUUUGAUACUGUCGGACUAGAGUUUGGUAGGGGGAAGCGGAAUUCCUAGUGUAGAGGUGAAAUUCGUAGAUAUUAGGAAGAACACCAACGGCGAAGGCAGCGAUCUGGGCCGGUACUGACGCUGAGGAGCGAAAGCGUGGGGAGCAAACAGG
rnacentral:rRNA from 1 species